UCCAGAUUGACUCUAUGACUCAGUUCCUGCAGAAACUCAGAACAUCACAAUCAUCACAACCCAGAGAAGAGAAGAGCAUCAACAGAACUGAUCUGACUUAGUAAACAUGGACAGAUACCUAGUACUGAUUUUUAUCAUGAUUUCAGGUGCAAUGGCUGCAGACCAGAUUGGGCCAAAUAAGGAUGUAAAUGUCAUCAGUACAGAAGGAGAGUCUGUGACCCUCAGCUGCUCGUAUGAUACAAGCAGCAGAUUUGUUAGACUUUACUGGUACAGACAGUAUCUUAAUAAAGAACCUCAGUAUUUAAUGUGGAAAGAUGCUCGGUCAUGGAGUGGUACUGGGACCCCCGCUGAUCCUCGCUUUCAGUCGACUACAUCAGAAACCUCCACUGAACUCAUUAUUACUGGUGUAACUCUCUCAGAUUCAGCUCUCUAUUAUUGUGCUCUAAGAGUGGGAGCCCAGUGAUACAAAGUCUAUGUGA